AGGUACUUAAGUGGAUUUCUCAUCCUACAGUAUAUGUCUACAUGGAAUAGACCAUAAGUCACACACAUUUAUACCAUGACCAGACCAGACCAAAGUAUUUUUUGCGAUCCCGCAGUCAGCUUCCAACCCACUGCGGAGCCGAGCCGACCGACGGCGACGACCAACGACGACGACGACGACGACGCUGCCACGGCGCCACCGUCGAGUUUCCUUCGCCCGUGAGCGCUAGGCAUAUCACCCAUAUGCAUGGCAUAUUUCCGCAAUAACGUCCACCUUGUGUUGUUGCUGCUGCUCGUCGUUGUUCAAGCGCCCAAGCUACAUGGCAUCGACGUGACUGAUGAGAUGUAAGUGUCAAUAUAUACAAAAUGCAUGCCUUCUUCCA